CAGGCACCGGCCAGUGUUGCACUGUCCAAGGGAUCAGACAGCAACAAGGAGUGGACAAGUGGCUGUAAAGGGUUAAGUUUACUACACUGUGAUCUCAGUCAAAGCUUUCCUUUGUGUGUCAGUGGUUAGGCAAAACCCUGGACUUUACUGGGCAGUGAGAUGGCUGUCACUCAUCCUCUCCUUUGCUGCAGGCAGGGCCAUCCUGGGGCUGUGAAGCUUGCCCAAAGCCAA